rnacentral:rRNA from 1 species
UACGGAGGGUGCAAGCGUUAUCCGGAUUCACUGGGUUUAAAGGGUGCGUAGGUGGGCAGGUAAGUCAGUGGUGAAAUCUCCGGGCUUAACCCGGAACUGCCGUUGAUACUAUUUGUCUUGAAUAUUGUGGAGGUAAGCGGAAUAUGUCAUGUAGCGGUGAAAUGCUUAGAUAAUGACAUAGAACACCAAAUUGCGAAGGC